UACGGGAUGGGCUAGCUUUGAUCGGAAUUACUGGGCGUAAAGAGCGCGUAGGCGGCUUACCAAGUUGGGGGUGAAAUCCCGGAGCUCAACUCCGGAACUGCCUUCAAAACUGGUAGGCUCGAGUCCGGAAGAGGGGCGUGGAAUUCCCAGUGUAGAGGUGAAAUUCGUAGAUAUUGGGAAGAACACCGGUGGCGAAGGCGGCGCCCUGGUCCGGUACUGACGCUGAGGCGCGAAAGCGUGGGGAGCAAACAGG
rnacentral:rRNA from 1 species